rnacentral:rRNA from 1 species
AACGAACGCUGGCGGCAGGCUUAACACAUGCAAGUCGAACGCAUCGCAAGAUGAGUGGCAGACGGGUGAGUAACGCGUGGGAACAUACCCUUUUCUACGGAAUAGCUCUGGGAAACUGGAAUUAAUACCGUAUACGCCCUACGGGGGAAAGAUUUAUCGGGGAAGGAUUGGCCCGCGUUGGAUUAGCUAGUUGGUGGGGUAAAGGCCUACCAAGGCGACGAUACAUAGCUGGUCUGAGAGGAUGAUCAGCCACAUUGGGACUGAGACACGGCCCAAACUCCUACGGGAGGCAGCAGUGGGGAAUAUUGGACAAUGGGCGAAAGCCUCAUCCAGCCAUGCCGCGUGAGUGAUGAAGGACUUAGGGUUGUAAAGCUCUUUCACCGAUGAAGAUAAUGACGGUAGUCGGAGAAGAAGCCCCGGCUAACUUCGUGCCAGCCGCCGCGGUAA